AUACGGAGGAUCCGAGCGUUAUCCGGAUUUAUUGGGUUUAAAGGGUGCGCAGGCGGCCAUUUAAGGCAGCGGUUAAAUCGUGGGGCUCAACCCCAUUCUGCCGUUGAUACUGGGUGGCUUGAUUGCGGUCGAGGUUGGCGGAAUUCGUUGUGUAGCGGUGAAAUGCAUAGAUAUGACGAAGAACACCGAUUGCGUAGGCAGCUGACCAGACCGCAAAUGACGCUCAUGCACGAAAGUGCGGGGAUCGAACAGGAUUAGAUACCCUGGUAGUCCGCACAGUAAACGAUGAAUACUUGUUUUCGGCGAUAUAAUGUCGGAGGCAAAGCGAAAGCGAUAAGUAUUCCACCUGGGGAGUACGCCGGCAACGGUGAAACUCAAAGGAAUUGACGGGG
rnacentral:rRNA from 1 species